UCCAACCCUAAAUACUACCCAGUGACCGAUAGCGUAUAGUACUGUGAAGGAAAGGUGAAAAGCACCCCGGGAGGGGAGUGAAAAAGAACCUGAAACCCUGUGCCUACAAGCACCUAGAGCACGUCAAUGUGUGAUAGGGUACUUUUUGUAGAACGGUCCGGCGAGCGAUUGUAUGCAGCAAGGUUAAGGACUUAAGGUCUGGAGCCGAAGCGAAAGCGAGUUUGAAAAGGGCGUUAAGUUGCAUACAAUGGGCCC
rnacentral:rRNA from 1 species